CCUACGGGUAGCAGCAGUGGGGAAUAUUGGACAAUGGGGGCAACCCUGAUCCAGCAAUACCGCGUGUGUGAAGAAGGCCUUCGGGUUGUAAAGCACUUUAGGCGGGGAAGCGGUACCCGCAGAAUAAGCACCGGCUAACUCUGUGCCAGCAGCCGCGGUAAUACAGAGGGUGCAAGCGUUAAUCGGAUUUACUGGGCGUAAAGGGCGCGUAGGUGGUUUAUUAAGUGAGAUGUGAAAGCCCCGGGCUUAACCUGGGAAUGGCAUCUUAUACUGGUGAACUGGAGUGCAGUAGAGGGUAGUGGAAUUUCCGGUGUAGCGGUGAAAUGCGUAGAUAUCGGAAGGAACACCAGUGGCGAAGGCGGCUACCUGGACUGAACUGACACUGAGGCGCGAAAGCGUGGGGAGCAAACAGGAUUAGAUACCCUAGUAGUC
rnacentral:rRNA from 1 species